AUACGGGGGGUGCAAGCGUUAUUCGGAUUUAUUGGGCGUAAAGGGCGCGUAGGCGGCUUGGUAAGUCAGAUGUGAAAGCCCGGGGCUCAACCCCGGAAGUGCAUUUGAAACUAUCAGGCUUGAGUAUGGGAGAGGGAAGUGGAAUUCCUGGUGUAGAGGUGAAAUUCGUAGAUAUCAGGAGGAACACCGGUGGGGAAGGCGACUUCCUGGACCAAUACUGACGCUGAGGCGCGAAGGCGUGGGGAGCAAACAGGAUUAGAUACCCUAGUAGUCC
rnacentral:rRNA from 1 species